rnacentral:rRNA from 2 species
AUGCAGUCGAGCGCCCUUUUCGGAGGGAGCGGCAGACGGGUGAGUAACGCGUGGGAAUCUACCAUUUGCUACGGAACAACAGUUGGAAACGACUGCUAAUACCGUAUGUGCCCCCCUUUAAAAUUCCAGGAAACAUAAAAUGCCCUGGCAUUUUAUGGGGGGGAAAGAUUUAUCGGCAAAUGAUGAGCCCGCGUUGGAUUAGCUAGUUGGUGAGGUAAAGGCUCACCAAGGCGACGAUCCAUAGCUGGUCUGAGAGGAUGAUCAGCCACACUGGGACUGAGACACGGCCCAGACUCCUACGGGAGGCAGCAGUGGGGAAUAUUGGACAAUGGGCGCAAGCCUGAUCCAGCCAUGCCGCGUGAGUGAUGAAGGCCCUAGGGUUGUAAAGCUCUUUCACCGGUGAAGAUAAUGACGGUAACCGGAGAAGAAGCCCCGGCUAACUUCGUGCCAGCAGCCGCGGUAAUACGAAGGGGGCUAGCGUUGUUCGGAUUUACUGGGCGUAAAGCGCACGUAGGCGGACUUUUAAGUCAGGGGUGAAAUCCCGGGGGCUCAACCCCCAGAACUGCCUUUUGAUACUGGAA